AACGAACGCUGGCGGCGUGGAUUAGGCAUGCAAGUCGUACGCGAAAGUCUCCUUCGGGGGAUGAGUAGAGUGGCGAACUGGUGAGUACAAGGUGACUAACCUGCCCUUGAGUGGGGGAUAACUUCGGGAAACCGAAGCUAAUACCGCAUGGUUUCUUGAUCUCUCGGGGUUGAGAAUAAAGCAGUAAUGCGCUCAAGGAUGGGGUCACCCCCCAUUAGCUUGUUGGUAGGGUAACGGCCUACCAAGGCUGCGAUGGGUAGCUGGACUGAGAGGUUGGCCAGCCACACUGGGACUGAGAUACGGCCCAGACUCCUACGGGGGGCAGCAGUCUAGAGGCUUCGACAAUGCCCGAAAGGGUGAUCGAGCGACGCCGCGUGCGGGAUGAAGGUCUUCGGAUUGUAAACCGCUUUUGUUUGGGAAGAAGGCCUGUGUCGUGAACAUGGGAUUGACGGUACCAAACGAAUAAGCCCCGGCUAACUCCGUGCCAGCAGCCGCGGUAAGACGGAGGGGGCAAGCGUUGUUCGGAAUCAUUGGGCGUAAAGGGCUCGUAGGCGGACUAGUAAGUCUGGCGUGAAAUCUCCACCGCUCACCGGGGAGAGGUCGCUGGAUACUGCUAGUCUUGAGUUCGGUAGAGGGUCG
rnacentral:rRNA from 1 species